rnacentral:rRNA from 1 species
CAGUCGCCACGGUAAUACGGAGGGCGCGAGCGUUACCCGGAUUUACUGGGCGUAAAGGGCGUGUAGGCGGCCUGGGGCGUCCCAUGUGAAAGGCCACGGCUCAACCGUGGAGGAGCGUGGGAUACGCUCAGGCUAGAGGGUGGGAGAGGGUGGUGGAAUUCCCGGAGUAGCGGUGAAAUGCGCAGAUACCGGGAGGAACGCCGAUGGCGAAGGCAGCCACCUGGUCCACUUCUGACGCUGAGGCGCGAAAGCGUGGGGAGCAAACCGGAUUAGAUACCCCAGUAGUCCCUGUCUCUUAUAC